rnacentral:RNase_P_RNA from 1 species
UCAGUCGGCCGGACGGCCGCUGCGGCACUCACCGAAAGGUGGCCGUGGAGGAAAGUCCGGGCUCCAUGGACAAACGGUGCCGGAUAACGUCCGGCGGGGUUGAUCCCCGCUUUCGCGGGGAGAGGCCCCAGGGAUAGUGCCACAGAGAACAGACCGCCUGCCCCGCUUCGGCGGGGCGGCAAGGGUGAAACGGUGCGGUAAGAGCGCACCGCGGGACCGGCAACGGAACCGGCACGGCAAACCCCACCGGGAGCAAGACCGAAUAGGGGCGGCGCGGGCUCCUCCUCGCGAAAGCAAGGAGAAGACCCGGAUCGGUCCAGAUCAGCCGCCCGGGUAGGUUGCUUGAGGCGCCGGGUAACCGGCGUCCCAGAGGAAUGGCCGUCACGCAUGGCUCUCGGGUCAUGCCCUACAGAACCCGGCUUACAGGCCGGCUGAUGUG